UUAAGCGACUAAGCGUACACGGUGGAUGCCCUGGCAGUCAGAGGCGAUGAAGGACGUGCUAAUCUGCGAAAAGCGUCGGUAAGGUGAUAUGAACCGUUAUAGCCGGCGAUGUCCGAAUGGGGAAACCCAGUGCAAUUCGUUGCACUAUCGUUAACUGAAUACAUAGGUUAACGAGGCGAACCGGGGGAACUGAAACAUCUAAGUACCCCGAGGAAAAGAAAUCAACCGAGAUUCCCCCAGUAGCGGCGAGCGAACGGGGAGCAGCCCAGAGUCUGAAUCAGCUUGUGUGUUAGUGGAACGGUCUGGAAAGUCCGACGGUACAGGGUGAUAGUCCCGUACACCAAAAUGCACAGGCUGUGAACUCGAAGAGUAGGGCGGGACACGUGGUAUCCUGUCUGAAUAUGGGGGGACCAUCCUCCAAGGCUAAAUACUCCUGACUGACCGAUAGUGAACCAGUACCGUGAGGGAAAGGCGAAAAGAACCCCGGCGAGGGGAGUGAAAAAGAACCUGAAACCGUGUACGUACAAGCAGUGGGAGCACCUUCGGGUGUGACUGCGUACCUUUUGUAUAAUGGGUCAGCGACUUAUAUUCUGUAGCAAGGUUAACCGUAUAGGGGAGCCGCAGGGAAACCGAGUCUUAACUGGGCGUUAAGUUGCAGGGUAUAGACCCGAAACCCGGUGAUCUAGCCAUGGGCAGGUUGAAGGUUGGGUAACACUAACUGGAGGACCGAACCGACUAAUGUUGAAAAAUUAGCGGAUGACUUGUGGCUGGGGGUGAAAGGCCAAUCAAACCGGGAGAUAGCUGGUUCUCCCCGAAAGCUAUUUAGGUAGCGCCUCGUGAACUCAUCUUCGGGGGUAGAGCACUGUUUCGGCUAGGGGGUCAUCCCGACUUACCAACCCGAUGCAAACUACGAAUACCGAAGAAUGUUAUCACGGGAGACACACGGCGGGUGCUAACGUCCGUCGUGAAGAGGGAAACAACCCAGACCGCCAGCUAAGGUCCCAAAGUCAUGGUUAAGUGGGAAACGAUGUGGGAAGGCACAGACAGCCAGGAUGUUGGCUUAGAAGCAGCCAUCAUUUAAAGAAAGCGUAAUAGCUCACUGGUCGAGUCGGCCUGCGCGGAAGAUGUAACGGGGCUAAACCAUGCACCGAAGCUGCGGCAGCGACACUAUGUGUUGUUGGGUAGGGGAGCGUUCUGUAAGCCUGCGAAGGUGACCUGUGAGGGUUGCUGGAGGUAUCAGAAGUGCGAAUGCUGACAUAAGUAACGAUAAAGCGGGUGAAAAGCCCGCUCGCCGGAAGACCAAGGGUUCCUGUCCAACGUUAAUCGGGGCAGGGUGAGUCGACCCCUAAGGCGAGGCCGAAAGGCGUAGUCGAUGGGAAACAGGUUAAUAUUCCUGUACUUGGUGUUACUGCGAAGGGGGGACGGAGAAGGCUAUGUUAGCCGGGCGACGGUUGUCCCGGUUUAAGCAUGUAGGCUGGUUAUCCAGGCAAAUCCGGAUAAUCAAGGCUGAGGUGUGAUGACGAGGUACUACGGUGCUGAAGUAACAAAUGCCCUGCUUCCAGGAAAAGCCUCUAAGCAUCAGGUAACAUCAAAUCGUACCCCAAACCGACACAGGUGGUCAGGUAGAGAAUACCAAGGCGCUUGAGAGAACUCGGGUGAAGGAACUAGGCAAAAUGGUGCCGUAACUUCGGGAGAAGGCACGCUGGUGUGUAGGUGAAGUCCCUGCGGAUGGAGCUGAGACCAGUCGAAGAUACCAGCUGGCUGCAACUGUUUAUUAAAAACACAGCACUGUGCAAACACGAAAGUGGACGUAUACGGUGUGACGCCUGCCCGGUGCCGGAAGGUUAAUUGAUGGGGUUAUCCGUAAGGAGAAGCUCUUGAUCGAAGCCCCGGUAAACGGCGGCCGUAACUAUAACGGUCCUAAGGUAGCGAAAUUCCUUGUCGGGUAAGUUCCGACCUGCACGAAUGGCGUAAUGAUGGCCAGGCUGUCUCCACCCGAGACUCAGUGAAAUUGAACUCGCUGUGAAGAUGCAGUGUACCCGCGGCAAGACGGAAAGACCCCGUGAACCUUUACUAUAGCUUGACACUGAACAUUGAGCCUUGAUGUGUAGGAUAGGUGGGAGGCUUUGAAGCGUGGACGCCAGUCUGCGUGGAGCCAACCUUGAAAUACCACCCUUUAAUGUUUGAUGUUCUAACGUUGGCCCCUUAUCGGGGUUGCGGACAGUGUCUGGUGGGUAGUUUGACUGGGGCGGUCUCCUCCCAAAGCGUAACGGAGGAGCACGAAGGUUAGCUAAUCCUGGUCGGACAUCAGGAGGUUAGUGCAAUGGCAUAAGCUAGCUUGACUGCGAGCGUGACGGCGCGAGCAGGUGCGAAAGCAGGUCAUAGUGAUCCGGUGGUUCUGAAUGGAAGGGCCAUCGCUCAACGGAUAAAAGGUACUCCGGGGAUAACAGGCUGAUACCGCCCAAGAGUUCAUAUCGACGGCGGUGUUUGGCACCUCGAUGUCGGCUCAUCACAUCCUGGGGCUGAAGUAGGUCCCAAGGGUAUGGCUGUUCGCCAUUUAAAGUGGUACGCGAGCUGGGUUUAGAACGUCGUGAGACAGUUCGGUCCCUAUCUGCCGUGGGCGCUGGAGAAUUGAGGGGGGCUGCUCCUAGUACGAGAGGACCGGAGUGGACGCAUCACUGGUGUUCGGGUUGUCAUGCCAAUGGCACUGCCCGGUAGCUAAAUGCGGAAGAGAUAAGUGCUGAAAGCAUCUAAGCACGAAACUUGCCCCGAGAUGAGUUCUCCCUGAGACUUUAAGUCUCCUGAAGGAACGUUAAAGACGAUGACGUUGAUAGGCCGGGUGUGUAAGCGCAGCGAUGCGUUGAGCUAACCGGUACUAAUGAACCGUGAGGCUUAACCUU
rnacentral:rRNA from 1 species